rnacentral:rRNA from 1 species
UAACGCUGAGAUACGAUGUCGAGCUACUACGGUAGUGAAGUCAUUGAUGCCAUGCUUCCAGGAAAAGCCUCUAAGCUUCAGAUUGUAAGGAAUCGUACCCCAAACCGACACAGGUGGUCGGGUAGAGAAUACCAAGGCGCUUGAGAGAACUCGGGUGAAGGAACUAGGCAAAAUGGUACCGUAACUUCGGGAGAAGGUACGCUCUUAUCAGUGAAGUCCCUUGCGGAUGGAGCAGACGAGAGUCGCAGAUACCAGGUGGCUGCAACUGUUUAUUAAAAACACAGCACUGUGCAAAAUCGUAAGAUGACGUAUACGGUGUGACGCCUGCCCGGUGCCGGAAGGUUAAUUGAUGGGGUUAGACUUCGGUCGAAGCUCUUGAUCGAAGCCCCGGUAAACGGCGGCCGUAACUAUAACGGUCCUAAGGUAGCGAAAUUCCUUGUCGGGUAAGUUCCGACCUGCACGAAUGGCGUAAUGAUGGCCACGCUGUCUCCACCCGAGACUCAGUGAAAUUGAAAUCGCUGUGAAGAUGCAGUGUACCCGCGGCUAGACGGAAAGACCCCGUGAACCUUUACUACAGCUUGGCACUGAACAUUGAACCUACAUGUGUAGGAUAGGUGGGAGACUUUGAAACCGCGUCGCUAGAUGUGGUGGAGUCGUCCUUGAAAUACCACCCUUGUAGUUUUGAUGUUCUAACGUUGGUCCCUGAAUCGGGAUUACGGACAGUGCCUGGUGGGUAGUUUGACUGGGGCGGUCUCCUCCCAAAGAGUAACGGAGGAGCACGAAGGUGGGCUAAACACGGUUGGACAUCGUGUGGUUAGUGCAAUGGCAUAAGCCCGCUUGACUGCGAGAAUGACAAUUCGAGCAGGUGCGAAAGCAGGUCAUAGUGAUCCGGUGGUUCUGAAUGGAAGGGCCAUCGCUCAACGGAUAAAAGGUACUCCGGGGAUAACAGGCUGAUACCGCCCAAGAGUUCAUAUCGACGGCGGUGUUUGGCACCUCGAUGUCGGCUCAUCACAUCCUGGGGCUGAAGUCGGUCCCAAGGGUAUGGCUGUUCGCCAUUUAAAGUGGUACGCGAGCUGGGUUUAGAACGUCGUGAGACAGUUCGGUCCCUAUCUGCCGUGGGCGUUGGAAAAUUGAAAGGGGCUGCUCCUAGUACGAGAGGACCGGAGUGGACGAACCUCUGGUGUUCGGGUUGUCAUGCCAAUGGCAUUGCCCGGUAGCUAAGUUCGGAAUCGAUAACCGCUGAAAGCAUCUAAGCGGGAAGCGAGCCUUGAGAUGAGUUUUCCCUGAC